rnacentral:lncRNA from 1 species
CAACCCUCCUGCCUCAGCCUCCCAAAUUCCUAGGAUUACAGGCACAUCACAGCCUUCUUGCUCUUAGGAACACUAGCCAGCACGAAAUCACUGUGCUUGGGGCCUUUUCAACAGCAAAAUCAACAGGAAGCACAAAAAUGUGGCAAAAUGACACUAACUAGACCAUGCUAAGGAAGCUUGUUCACAGCGUGAGCCAAAACAAGAAGGCCGAGCAUCGCCUUGUUCCACCUCAGCUGGGAACGUGCAUUUGAGCAACUCAAAUCUUGUGUCACUCAUGCAUGCCUGUGAAUUACCUCAAAAGCACUGUGAGUAUUGACUUUGGGGUUACAUGUGAAUUUUGGCGAGUAGGCAGAUUUGUCAAGUCCAAAUUUAUGAAUCAUGAGAGUCAACUGUAAAUGCAUGCUUAAGAAGCAUUACUCUAGCAGGAAAGCAAGACACAAAAUACAGUCAUGCAUCAGAUAACGUUUUGGUCAAUGAUGGGUUGCACAUAUGAACAUGCAGUCCCAUAAGAUUAUAAUGGAGAUGAAAAAUCCCUAUUGUCCAGUGAUGUCAGAGCCAUAGUAAAGUUGUAUAGCAAUGCAUUGCUCAUGUGUUAGUGGCGGUGCUGGUAUAAACACACUUGCUUCAUGGCCAGUCGUGUAAAAGUCCAGCACAUGUAAUUAUGUGCGGUACAUCAUACUUGAUAAUGACAGCGAAUGACUUUCACUGGUUUAUGUAUUUACCAUGCUAUUUUCCUUAUCAUUAUAUUAGAGUAUAUACUCAUUCUACUUAUAAACGAAAGUGAACAGCCCUACCAGUCUUCAGUUCUUAAUCUUAUUUUAAAAACUGUGGUCAUGGGAUCCUCAGCUGGGUCAUAACAUACAUCAGGUUGGUCAUUUCCUGGGCUACGUACCUUGCAUAGAAUAACAUUAUACAAACAAGCUUUGUUUUUAGAGUUCCAGUACUCUUAUAAUAACCAUAAAAUAAUAGGACUGUAGCGACUUUUUGUCCUACCUCAGUGACUUGAUGUAUACACUGGGAACAGCUCUUAGUCUGAGGAAGGUCAGUUGAAGUCCUUACUGUACAAGUCCAAGUUUUAAGGAAAAUGAGUCCCGCGAUGAGUUUUCUCAUGCUUCGGCUGUGCAUGGACCAGUCAGCUCCCGGGUGUGACUGGAGCAGGGCUUGUUGUCUUUUUCAGAGUCACUUUGCAGGGGUUGGCGAAGCUGCUCCCAUCCACGUACAGCUCCUAGUCUACUGAUGUUUAAGGUCUCCAAGGAAUGCUGUUUCCUGCCUGUCGUGAGAGACACAAAGUGAACUUAGUGUUGGGAGAUGGAAGCUGGAUGGCUCUCAGGGGCUGACCCGCAGGGUGCCGGACUUCGGGAUAUAGCAGAGAGAGCUUGGCAUGACUUAUUACUCCAGGCUGUAGAAUCCUGGAAAAGAGCUACCAU